rnacentral:misc_RNA from 1 species
GCUAGUAAUUGCAGGUCAGCAUACUGCAGUGAAUUCGUUCCCGGGCCUUGUACACACCGCCCGUCACACCAUGGGAGCUGGUUUUGCCCGAAGUCGUUACCCUAACCGCUUGCGGAGGGGGACGCCGAAGGCAGGGCUGGUGACUGGGGUGAAGUCGUAACAAGGUAGCCGUACCGGAAGGUGUGGCUGGAUCACCUCCUUUUAAGGGAGACCAACUUCCUGCUCAUACCUGUGUCCAAUGUGAAUCAGGUCAACAGUGAAGCUAUCCCUGGUCGGUCGAGAUUGGUGAAAAAGGCUUUCAAACUAUAUUGGGUUCGGCAAUUCACAUGACACCCUCUUUCGCAUGAGGCGUAGUCAACAGAAACAUACGACAACUCAUGGAUAGAAGAAUUCAGCAAUCUUGCUUGAUAAUCUGGCAAGCCUGCUGGACUCUAGUCCAGUCAGAACCUUGAAAACUGCAUAGCAAUAAGUCAGGUAGAAACUGUCAUUGGCCAAGAAUCAGAGGUCAGUAGCUUUCUUGCUAUUGUGCCCACUGAAGUUUUGACGAACUGACAGAAGAUAUCACAGACAUCAAUAUCAAGUU